GAUGUGGUUGAAGAGGAGAAAAAUAUUAUAAAAGUGGAUGAUGAGUCUGAUUCUGCAACGGUUGGGAAAUUUGAUCAGUUGUAUGAGACAUCUGAUGAUGGUGAACCAUACCACUCUGGAGGAUUCAAGAGCUUGAACACAAGUGAAUGGUUGAUUGUCUAAGUUAACCGCAUUCAUAUAUCACGCUCAUGCUCGGCACUGGUAAAUUAUGACCUUGGUGAAGCAGGGAAACCGCCAUGGAUGACUGAACUUAAAGAGCUUGCCGUUUUUGUUGAACCCUUUUGUUUCAUGUCAAUGGGGCCUUACAGUUGAUCUGUUUU